UACGUAGGGACCAAGCGUUGUUCGGAUUUACUGGGCGUAAAGGGAGCGUAGGCGGCAAUUCAAGUCAGGUGUGAAAUCUCCGAGCUUAACUCGGAACGGUCAACUGAUACUGCUUUGCUAGAGUACAGAAGGGGCAAUCGGAAUUCUUGGUGUAGCGGUGAAAUGCGUAGAUAUCAAGAGGAACACCUGAGGUGAAGACGGGUUGCUGGGCUGAUACUGACGCUGAGGCUCGAAAGCUAGGGGAGCAAACGGG
rnacentral:rRNA from 1 species